GGAGACAGAGCAUACCCUGUCUUAAAAAAAAAAAAAAAAGGUUAAAAUUUGGAGGGUAACUCCCAGCUAGAAAGGAAGAAAAACUCUAAAGUGGAAUCGCCUUCCCCCGGAAGCUGUUGUAAAAAUUAAAGGAUGUAUGUGAGUGCA